UACUCAUCAAAUUUUACUUUUCAAAAUUGGUAAAGAGAGAGAUACAUGGUAAUGGGUGUGAAUAUAGCUGGCGAUGCUAAUUAAGAAAUGUUGGAAUGGUUCGGAAAGCAUUUCAAAUUUUACUUGAAUCAGUCUUCUCAUAAGAAUGAGUUGGAUUGUGCUCAUGACAUAUAAUCAUAUGAAGAGCUAGGGUGACUUAUGGAUGGUAUAAAUAUUGCAAACUUGAACUUUCCGAACUAUGGAUAAGAUAUGC